ensembl:lncRNA
UUCCUGUUGUUAGAGGAUUAUUUUCCUGCUGUUGCAAACUGGCUCAAAUUAAAAUCCUACAUCUGUUGGUCCACCCAUGCUCACAAACUGGACAAAGCUAACCCUUGGAGAGUGAGGGUCAUGCUGACUAGCCAAUCAGGGCCUGAAGAGACAGCAUGGCUAGCUUAUAUACAGGGGUGAGGUGAAUGGGGACUGUCAGAUUGGCUAAGGCUAGGAGCUGAUAGCAAUUUCUUACUUGAGUUGGAGAAGAGGUUAGGAUGGGUGAGAGCUAGACAAACAAUCAACCCACACACUGGAAAAAUGUCCAAAAGCAGACAAUUGGAUUCCAUGAAAUUUCAACACCUACAGUAGGAUUGGGAGCAGAUAUCAUUGUGCCUUGUGUAUAAAAAUGUAAGAUAAGCAGGGAUCCAACCCCCCUUGAGGUUGUUGAAAGGGCAACCAAGGAAGUGAGAGAAAGAAAGAAGUCCAUUCGAACAGCAGCAAGGGAUGAAACAUUUAAUGAAUGACUAUGAAGAGGACACCAUCCAACUGGAAGGACGUCUUUGAAUGGAUUUACCCCAAGGCGGCUCAACUUACCCUGUCCCUAUGCUCAACUUAUCCCAUACCUGGUGUAUGCUGUGCAAAGAGACCACUUUUCUGUACAAGCUAUGUUUUCAAAACUGUUAGACGUUUAUGAAUUCUGAUUAUUUCCAGCGAUACACAAACAUCCUAAAAUAUGUAGAUAUCUUUGUUAGACUAUAUUUCCCUUGACGUAGUGAUGCUGAAUGUAAUAAAUGGCUCAA